rnacentral:sRNA from 1 species
UGGCUGCACCUGUCCGCACUCUCGGAGC